CCCAUGUGUGUAUGUAAGCUAUCUCCAUGAUGACAUUCUUCCACGCCCUGAUUUUUUUACACAGACUGACCACCUAGCAAAUUACCUUCCCCUCGCAGGCUACCUGACAAGCUAGAAACCCAAGGGAGGGAAGAGGAGCAAAUCUCACCCUAUGGGACACCAAAAGCAGGUGAUGGGAACGGACCAGCGAAGGAGACUCCAGGACAAGAUCGGCUGCCUGGAUGUAGAAACCCGCUGAGCUGCCUGGAAGAGAUUUCGAGCAGUCACUUGGAAAGGACGCUCUCCAGCCUGCUGAGCUGCCUGCAGGCUGUGCAGUGUGCUCCAGGCUCCCAGACGUGUGAGCCGUCACCCAUGCUGAGGUGCGCUUUGGUGAUGCAGCUGCCUUUGAGUUGUUUCUUUUCCUGUAAGUUAACCCCUCACCGGUAUUCCUGCAAGUAACCCCAAUAAAACUCAGCCGUUGACCAG